CUCACGGGGACCAUAUACACUACCACAUACCACCUGAUAAACAUUUAUGCCCCCAAUCAACCAGACCCAGAAUUUUGGGAGACAUUACACAACUCAAUCCACGCCUUGCCCCGGGGGUUUGUUGUGUUGGGGGGCGACUUUAACUCGGGGCCGUGCCCACCGGUCGACCGCAGCAGGCCGUCGGGAGACCGGGGGGCACUGCGGACAGGAGGACAAGACAAGCUGCUAGCCCAGUUCAUACAAAAAGCAAAACUGUUAGACCCCUGGAGGCUGCAACAUCCAGGACAGAGGGACUAUACAUACUUUUCGGCGGCUCAUUC